rnacentral:rRNA from 1 species
CCUACGGGUGGCAGCAGUGGGGAAUAUUGCACAAUGGGCGAAAGCCUGAUGCAGCAACGCCGCGUGAACGAUGAAGGUCUUCGGAUCGUAAAGUUCUGUUGCAGGGGAAGAUAAUGACGGUACCCUGUGAGGAAGCCCCGGCUAACUACGUGCCAGCAGCCGCGGUAAUACGUAGGGGGCUAGCGUUAUCCGGAUUUACUGGGCGUAAAGGGUGCGUAGGUGGUCCUUCAAGUCGGUGGUUAAAGGCUACGGCUCAACCGUAGUAAGCCGCCGAAACUGGAGGACUUGAGUGCAGGAGAGGAAAGUGGAAUUCCCAGUGUAGCGGUGAAAUGCGUAGAUAUUGGGAGGAACACCAGUAGCGAAGGCGGCUUUCUGGACUGCAACUGACACUGAGGCACGAAAGCGUGGGUAGCGAACCGGAUUAGAUACCCUGGUAGUC